rnacentral:rRNA from 1 species
GGCGAGUGGCGAACGGGUGAGUAAUACAUCGGAACGUGUCCUGGAGUGGGGGAUAGCCCGGCGAAAGCCGGAUUAAUACCGCAUACGAUCUCUGGAUGAAAGCGGGGGACCGAAAGGCCUCGCGCUCAAGGGGCGGCCGAUGGCAGAUUAGCUAGUUGGUGGGGUAAAGGCCUACCAAGGCGACGAUCUGUAGCUGGUCUGAGAGGACGACCAGCCACACUGGGACUGAGACACGGCCCAGACUCCUACGGGAGGCAGCAGUGGGGAAUUUUGGACAAUGGGGGCAACCCUGAUCCAGCAAUGCCGCGUGUGUGAAGAAGGCCUUCGGGUUGUAAAGCACUUUUGUCCGGAAAGAAAACCGCUUCUCUAAUACAGAGGUGGGAUGACGGUACCGGAAGAAUAAGCACCGGCUAACUACGUGCCAGCAGCCGCGGUAAUACGUAGGGUGCGAGCGUUAAUCGGAAUUACUGGGCGUAAAGCGUGCGCAGGCGGUUCGCUAAGACCGAUGUGAAAUCCCCGGGCUUAACCUGGGAACUGCAUUGGUGACUGGCGGGCUAGAGUAUGGCAGAGGGGGGUAGAAUCCACGUGUAGCAGUGAAAUGCGUAGAGAUGUGGAGGAAUACCGAUGGCGAAGGCAGCCCCCUGGGCCCAUACUGACGCUCAUGCACGAAAGC